GUGUAGCCGUAAUCCGUAUGAGUCUUUGUCUUUGUAUCUUCUAACAAGGAUACAAUAUUUAGGCUUUUAAGAUCUGGUUGCGA
rfam:Arabidopsis thaliana chromosome 5, complete sequence.